rnacentral:rRNA from 1 species
GGGCCCGCACAAGCGGUGGAGCAUGUGGUUUAAUUCGAUGAUACGCGAGGAACCUUACCAGGGCUUAAAUGUAGUGGGACAGGUCUAGAGAUAGACCCUUCUUCGGACUCAUUACAAGGUGCUGCAUGGUUGUCGUCAGCUCGUGCCGUGAGGUGUCAGGUUAAGUCCUAUAACGAGCGCAACCCCUACCGUUAGUUGCCAGCACGUAAUGGUGGGAACUCAUGGGAUACUGCCGGGGUCAACUCGGAGGAAGGUGGGGAUGACGUCAAAUCAUCAUGCCCCUUAUGUCUUGGGCUUCACGCAUGCUACAAUGGCCGGUACAGAGGGCUGCAAUACCGUAAGGUGGAGCGAA